AUUGAACGCUGGCGGCAUGCCUUACACAUGCAAGUCGAACGGUAACGCGGGGCAACCUGGCGACGAGUGGCGAACGGGUGAGUAAUGCAUCGGAACGUGCCCAGAAGUGGGGGAUAGCCCGGCGAAAGCCGGAUUAAUACCGCAUGAGACCUGAGGGUGAAAGCGGGGGAUCGCAAGACCUCGCGCUUUUGGAGCGGCCGAUGUCAGAUUAGCUAGUUGGUGGGGUAAAGGCCUACCAAGGCGACGAUCUGUAGCUGGUCUGAGAGGACGACCAGCCACACUGGGACUGAGACACGGCCCAGACUCCUACGGGAGGCAGCAGUGGGGAAUUUUGGACAAUGGGCGCAAGCCUGAUCCAGCCAUGCCGCGUGCGGGAAGAAGGCCUUCGGGUUGUAAACUGCUUUUGUACGGAGCGAAAAGGCUCUCUCUAAUACAGGGGGCUCAUGACGGUACCGUAAGAAUAAGCACCGGCUAACUACGUGCCAGCCGCCGCCGUAA
rnacentral:rRNA from 1 species